ACGGGGCUGUGCGGCGCGUCAGGCCACAUAAUCCCUGGGGCCGAUAACUUACCUCUCGGGAGCUGUCCCUGCCGGGGUCGAGGCCUCGGUACCACGGCGCCCACCUGCGUCAAGCGGGCCACAGAGGGUUUUUUGCGCCAACGGCCGCGGCGGCUCCGUC
rnacentral:other from 1 species